UACGUAGGGUGCAAGCGUUGUCCGGAAUUAUUGGGCGUAAAGAGCUCGUAGGCGGUUUGUCGCGUCUGCUGUGAAAACCCGGGGCUCAACCUCGGGCCUGCAGUGGGUACGGGCAGACUAGAGUGCGGUAGGGGAGAUUGGAAUUCCUGGUGUAGCGGUGAAAUGCGCAGAUAUCAGGAGGAACACCGAUGGCGAAGGCAGGUCUCUGGGCAGUAACUGACGCUGAGGCGCGAAAGCUAGGGGAGCAAACGGG
rnacentral:rRNA from 1 species